GCAGGGUAUGGUGGUGCAUACCUGUAAUUCCAGCAACUCAGGAGGCAGAGGCAGGAGGAUUGCAUGUUCAAAGCAGCCUCAUCUGCAAGGUGCUAAGCAACUCACUGAGACCCUAUCUCUA
rnacentral:sRNA from 1 species